AUUGAACGCUGGCGGCAGGCCUAACACAUGCAAGUCGAGCGGAUGACGGGAGCUUGCUCCUCGAUUCAGCGGCGGACGGGUGAGUAAUACCUAGGAAUCUGCCUGAUAGUGGGGGACAAUGUUUCGAAAGGAACGCUAAUACCGCAUACGUCCUACGGGAGAAAGCAGGGGACCUUCGGGCCUUGCGCUAUCAGAUGAGCCUAGGUCGGAUUAGCUAGUUGGUGAGGUAAUGGCUCACCAAGGCGACGAUCCGUAACUGGUCUGAGAGGAUGAUCAGUCACACUGGAAUUGAGACACGGUCCAGACUCCUACGGGAGGCAGCAGUGGGGAAUAUUGGACAAUGGGCGAAAGCCUGAUCCAGCCAUGCCGCGUGUGUGAAGAAGGUCUUCGGAUUGUAAAGCACUUUAAGUUGGGAGGAAGGGCAGUAAGCUAAUACCUUGCUGUUUUGACGUUACCGACAGAAUAAGCACCGGCUAACUCUGUGCCAGCCGCCGCCGUAAGAC
rnacentral:rRNA from 1 species